rnacentral:rRNA from 1 species
GAUGAACGCUGGCGGCGUGCCUAAUACAUGCAAGUCGAGCGAACAGACGAGGAGCUUGCUCCUCUGACGUUAGCGGCGGACGGGUGAGUAACACGUGGAUAACCUACCUAUAAGACUGGGAUAACUUCGGGAAACCGGAGCUAAUACCGGAUAAUAUAUUGAACCGCAUGGUUCAAUAGUGAAAGACGGUUUUGCUGUCACUUAUAGAUGGAUCCGCGCCGCAUUAGCUAGUUGGUAAGGUAACGGCUUACCAAGGCAACGAUGCGUAGCCGACCUGAGAGGGGGAUCGGCCACACUGGAACUGAGACACGGUCCAGACCCCUACGGGAGGCAGCGGUAGGGAAUCUUCCGCAAUGGGCGAAAGCCUGACGGGCAACGCCGCGUGAGUGAUGAAGGUCUUCGGAUCGUAAAACUCUGUUAUUAGGGAAGAACAAAUGUGUAAGUAACUAUGCACGUCUUGACGGUACCUAAUCAGAAAGCCACGGCUAACUACGUG